AUUGUCAUUAUAUUAUUAGGAAUAGGAUUAUAUUCCUAUAUAUAUAUAUAUAUAUAUAACAUACGGGAGUUUUAAAAAAACCCUAGCCGGCAUCUCUCUUCUCCUCUCUCUUUCAUAUUCUAGCAAAAAAAGACGUCCUUUGUAAGGUAGCUAGCACCCCGGUGAGGACAUCGAUCAAAUCAAGAACCUCGUGUGGAUACCUAUAGAGGUCGGACACGUGUGCGGCUUCAAGAGAACCCGAUUCUACGAUCAUCAAAUUGAGGUGAAGAUCUAUCCGCGAAAAAGGUAAAGAUUCGACCUUGUUUUCUUCUUUAAUCUUAAAACAUGAGAGAUCCUAAUUGCGUGGUUUUUGAGAUUGGAUCUCGAGAGUUUUCAAAAAUCAAAUUUGUUUGAUUUCUUUUUCCGCUGCGUUUUUACCAUACGCAAUUCUCUAACACAUUCUCCACAACAACGCCCUACCGUUCUCGCUGCCAUCAAUACCAACAUCGCACGCUAGGUCCUCACAGUUGCCUGUAUCACCUGGGACUGGCUCAACGGCCUCGCCAAUAGCAUCACCAGAGAUUGGUAUCACAGUCCUAUCAUCUUUUUCUUUUCUUUUUUUUCACUUUUUCACCUCCACAUGAAACUUAGGCUUAGUUUGGUAUUGAGGCCCAUCUGAUGCUAUUAGAUAAAAUAAAGUUGGGAUAAAAGUAUAUAGGGAUAUGCUUCUGCGUUCUUCGGUGGGACCGCGAAAAAUAUAUCAUAACCAACUCAUCGCGAUAUACGGAACACAAUAUUAUAUACAGAAACAAACAUGAUAUUUUUUCAUCGUACUUUCUCACCGCACGUAACGCAAUCUCCCCGUAAUCUCAAACGAAGCCUUACACCAUUUAAAACUAUUUAAAGCUAAGUCUCAAACAGUGCAACUUAGUCUUAAAUAGUUUUAAAUAAUGCAGUUUAGCCUAAAUUUUAGUCAAAUAGUGCAACUUAGUUUUAAAUAAUGCAGUUUAGUCUAAAAAAGUGCAACUUCUACUUUAUAUGGUACAACUUAGUCUCAAAUAAUUUUAAUUAAUACAAUUUUUGUUCAAAAGUGUAAUUUUUAUUUCUGACAAUACAACUUUCACUCAAAGAGUGUCAGUCUCGUCUCAUAUAGUGCAAUUUUCAUCUCAAACAGUAUAAUUUUUGCUCAAACACUAUAACUUUCACCUAAAAGGUAUAACUUUCAUCUCAAAUCUCAAAGAAUAUAAUUUUCAUUUCAAACAGUACUUGAAACAGUGUAGUUUCAUCUUAACAGUGCAACUCCAUCUUCAUUUUCCUUUUUCUUUAGUUCUUGACCUUUUUCUAUAGCAGCGGCGAUACAUAAUUAUCUUCUUAGGAGAAAAAAAUAUUUUUUUUAUUUUUUAUA
rnacentral:lncRNA from 1 species